rnacentral:lncRNA from 1 species
CUAAGUCCACUUUGGAACAUGCAAAGGCGGCCUUCUUUCCGAUGGAAUGCAAAACGUUAAGCCAAAUCCUUUUGUGGUCUCCAGCUCAGAGAAGACGGAUGCAUCUACACCACCAUAACGACAGAGCUGCUGCCUGUAAGCGAGACCACAGAACUAGAUCGCCCCACCAGUGGAAAGGAGAAAUUCAUUGGGAAUAUGAAAAUGCUGGUGGUUAACUCUCAGGUGGAGAGAGAAUAGCCAGAGGCCUUUGUGGGAGUUCAGAGCUGCCAUGGUUACCUCCUGGGAGGCAGCGAGACGACUAGCAAGAAGGUGAGGAAAGGCCGGCCAGUUAUAAAAAGGGGAGAAGUUUAGCUUCAGGGAGGAAGGUGUGGCAGCCAGAUAGCCGGGAAUUUUAUACUAUCAGU